GUCAGAUGAUUUGAAAUGAUGACACUGAUAACACUCCAUGAAGGUGUGACUUUAUAGCAUGUUAGAGUUCUGAUGGCA
rnacentral:snoRNA from 1 species